rnacentral:rRNA from 1 species
AAUAUUUGACAUUGGGGGCAACCCUGAUCCAGCUAUGCCGCGUGUGUGAAGAAGGUCUCCGCACUGUAAAGCACUUUAAGUUUGGAGGAAGUGCUUCAGGUUACUACCCCGAAGUUCUGCCGAUACCAACUGAACAACCACCGGCUAACUGUGUGCCAGCAGCCGCGGUAAUACAGAGGGUGCAAGCGUUAAUCGGAAUUACUGGGCGUAAAGCGCGCGUAGGUGGUUCAGUAAGAUGGGUGUGAAAUCCCCGGGCUUAAGCUGGGAACUGCUUUCAUAACUGCUGAACUAGAGUACGGUAGAGGGUAGUGGAAUUUCCUGUGUAGCGGUGAAAUGCGUAGAUAUAGGAAGGAACACCAGUGGCGAAGGCGACUACCUGGACUGAUACUGACACUGAGGUGCGAAAGCGUGGGGAGCAAAC